GUGAGGAAUAUUGGACAAUGGGCGCAAGCCUGAUCCAGCCAUGCCGCGUGCAGGAAGACGCAUCUAUGGUGUGUAAACUGCUUUUGUACGGGAAGAAACACUCCCUCGUGAGGGAGCUUGACGGUACCGUAAGAAUAAGGAUCGGCUAACUCCGUGCCAGCAGCCGCGGUAAUACGGAGGAUCCAAGCGUUAUCCGGAAUCAUUGGGUUUAAAGGGUCCGUAGGCGGUUUAAUAAGUCAGUGGUGAAAGCCCAUCGCUCAACGAUGGAACGGCCAUUGAUACUGUUAGACUUGAAUUACAAGGAAGUAACUAGAAUAUGUAGUGUAGCGGUGAAAUGCUUAGAUAUUAGGAGGAACACCAGUGGCGAAGGCGACUUUCUGGACUGUAACUGACGCUGAGGCUCGAAAGCCAGGGGAGCGAACGGGAUUAGAUACCCUUGUAGUCC
rnacentral:rRNA from 1 species